GAUUUCUGGCUUGGUGCGCGCCGUCCGCUGCGGUUACGUAGUGUGUGCGGUUGUGCGCCUGCCAUCUUUCUAGACAUCAUGCUGCGCCCUUCACUGGGUGGCAGGUGGUGGCUGGAUCUUUUACUUUGAAAAAAUUAGAGUGUUCAAAGCAGGCUUGCGCUAUGAAUACAUUAGCAUGGAAUAAUAAUUUAGGACUUUAUUCCUAUUUAUUGGUUUCUGGAGUAGAGUAAUGAUUGAUAGGGAUAGUUGGGGGUGCUAGUAUUCAUCGGCCAGAGGUGAAAUUCUUGGAUUCGAUGAAGACUAACUAAUGCGAAAGCAUU
rnacentral:rRNA from 1 species